GACGAACGCUGGCGGCGUGCUUAACACAUGCAAGUCGAACGGAAAGGCCCUUCGGGGUACUCGAGUGGCGAACGGGUGAGUAACACGUGGGUGAUCUGCCCUGCACUUUGGGAUAAGCCUGGGAAACUGGGUCUAAUACCGAAUAGGACUACGCGAUGCAUGUCGUGUGGUGGAAAGCUUUUGCGGUGUGGGAUGGGCCCGCGGCCUAUCAGCUUGUUGGUGAGGUUACGGCUCACCAAGGCGACGACGGGUAGCCGGCCUGAGAGGGUGACCGGCCACACUGGGACUGAGAUACGGCCCAGACUCCUACGGGAGGCAGCAGUGGGGAAUAUUGCACAAUGGGCGCAAGCCUGAUGCAGCGACGCCGCGUGAGGGAUGACGGCCUUCGGGUUGUAAACCUCUUUCGCCAGGGACGAAGCGCAAGUGACGGUACCUGGAGAAGAAGGACCGGCCAACUACGUGCCAGCAGCCGCGGUAAUACGUAGGGUCCGAGCGUUGUCCGGAAUUACUGGGCGUAAAGAGCUCGUAGGUGGUUUGUCGCGUUGUUCGUGAAAACUCACAGCUCAACUGUGGGCGUGCGGGCGAUACGGGCAGACUGGAGUACUGCAGGGGAGACUGGAAUUCCUGGUGUAGCGGUGGAAUGCGCAGAUAUCAGGAGGAACACCGGUGGCGAAGGCGGGUCUCUGGGCAGUAACUGACGCUGAGGAGCGAAAGCGUGGGGAGCGAACAGGAUUAGAUACCCUGGUAGUCCACGCCGUAAACGGUGGGUACUAGGUGUGGGUUUCCUUCCUUGGGAUCCGUGCCGUAGCUAACGCAUUAAGUACCCCGCCUGGGGAGUACGGCCGCAAGGCUAAAACUCAAAGAAAUUGACGGGGGCCCGCACAAGCGGCGGAGCAUGUGGAUUAAUUCGAUGCAACGCGAAGAACCUUACCUGGGUUUGACAUGCACAGGACGUGCCUAGAGAUAGGUAUUCCCUUGUGGCCUGUGUGCAGGUGGUGCAUGGCUGUCGUCAGCUCGUGUCGUGAGAUGUUGGGUUAAGUCCCGCAACGAGCGCAACCCUUAUCUUAUGUUGCCAGCGCGUAAUGGCGGGGACUCGUGAGAGACUGCCGGG
rnacentral:rRNA from 1 species